rnacentral:rRNA from 1 species
GACGAACGCUGGCGGCGUGCUUAACACAUGCAAGUCGAACGGAAAGGCCCUGCUUUUGUGGGGUGCUCGAGUGGCGAACGGGUGAGUAACACGUGAGUAACCUGCCCUUGACUUUGGGAUAACUUCAGGAAACUGGGGCUAAUACCGGAUAGGAGCUCCUGCUGCAUGGUGGGGGUUGGAAAGUUUCGGCGGUUGGGGAUGGACUCGCGGCUUAUCAGCUUGUUGGUGGGGUAGUGGCUUACCAAGGCUGUGACGGGUAGCCGGCCUGAGAGGGUGACCGGCCACAUUGGGACUGAGAUACGGCCCAGACUCCUACGGGAGGCAGCAGUGGGGAAUAUUGCACAAUGGGCGGAAGCCUGAUGCAGCAACGCCGCGUGCGGGAUGACGGCCUUCGGGUUGUAAACCGCUUUCGCCUGUGACGAAGCGUGAGUGACGGUAAUGGGUAAAGAAGCAACGGCUAACUACGUG